AGGAACGUUCAGGUCAGCUGGAAACAUCUGGUUAGAUCUGGACACAACCUGGAGCAGGUUAGCUCCUCAGCAUCAGUUACCAUGGAGAUCUGACAGGCGUGUGUCUGCAGUGUUUUGGCUGUAAUGUCGGUGGGCGUGGCCGGGGGCGGGGCUACGUGGAGCUGGGCUGCAGCCGACCGGAGAUCAUGAACUGCAGUGGAUCAGAGGGAGGAUUCAAAGUGAGGCGGUGCAUCACCACCAGCAGCCGCUCUCUGGACCUGGUCUUGUCUCGGGGUUGUGCGACGUCUCGUCACUGUCAGCAGACGGAGCUUCCUGGAGUGUCGGUGGCCUGCUGUGAUUGGUCGCUGUGUAAUGACGUGUGGCGGUGGGCGGGGUCAGUCCCUGCUGUCAUCAUCAGCUGCUGGUUUCCUCUGCAGGGACUCACCUGACACACCAAUCAUUUUAUCAUGGUCUUUGUGAGAUUAUUGGUUUGUUUCCUGUUGGUUCUGCAGCAGAUAAAGUGUGAUUUAACUGUUCUUCACUUUUCAGUUUGUAAAUAAGAUGUUUCUGUUUCCUGAUGUUUUCACUGCAGCAGAAAUGUUCUUUAAACGUUUCAGUCAAAGUUUCUGUUUAAUGUGAGAAUAACAUUUCUGUGCAUAUGAAGGCAGGAAGGCGUUUACUGAUGCUGAGGGACAUUCAGUACACAGAAAUAAGAGCAGAGCAGAAAAUAUGUACUUAUGGAUUUAUAAAGCUAAAACUAGUAGAGAAAUAUAAAUCUAGAAGUUCAUUCAUCAGACGUUUUUAUCCAAAGCGACGGCCACCUGAGAGUAACUGUAAUGAGUAAAAAAGCAGAGGUGUCCUUUUAUGGACAUUCAUGUCAUAUUAUGUUCACAGUCAUUACUGAUGAAUGACCCAGUUUAAGUGCUGCUGGAUUUUUAACCGUUUUGUGUCUAAUUCUGUUCCACUUUUGACUGUUUAGUGUGUAUUUUGUGUGUAUUUUGUGUGUAUUUUGUGUAUCUUGAGUGUAUCUUUGUGCGUUCCACUGAAAGUUUUCUCUUUUCACUUGUGGUUCUUCAGUAAA